CCUCCUCCAACACCGCGUCCAUCUGUUUGUAGCCAACUAGCUUUCAAUCCACCGUUACCAUUAUUUACCACAGAAUAUUCAAACAGCACGGCCGAGCACAUAAAACGUGCAGAUGCUAAUUUAACGUUACGUGACAGUGGCGUGUUAGCUACGGUUAUUAGAGGCAGGGAGCUCAAAUUGUUCGGGUUGCUGACCCGAGUGUCGUUAACGACUACCACUAACGCACAUCAAACGACUGCGUAGUUGUUAGCUCAUGUUUCGCUAGCUUUCAAGCUAUCUAGCCACCCAGCGACUUUUUCCUCCUUGUGCCGCUAACCAGCUAACGUUAGCCGACUAGCUGGGGCUAACGUGACCAAGACGAGCGCUACCUUGAUUUGUUGCAACAAAGAGAGAAUGAGAGCGAGAUCCUACCCGCCAUUUCGCCUUCGCAAAGUUCUUCUCAAACUGGGCACACACGCCGUCUUUCAAGUUCUUCUCUGAUGCACCGUUCCCUGCGAUCCUGACACAGAACACGGCACACAACCCAGCAGUCCACAGGACGACCAUAUCUGUGACGAGCCACCACUUCAGGAGCUGAGAGACAGCAAAGCAAGGAGGAGACGCAGAGGGAGGGUGAGAGGAAUUUCAUUUAGGAACUAGUACACCACAUUUAUAAUGCUGCCAUGCACAGACACCAGCUCCCUUCCUCACCCCUUUCUCAUUCCUCUCCUGUCAGGCUAUCUGGCCCAUAUUUCUUAUUUAUUUGUCUAAUUAUUCAGCUCAGCAUUUUGAAUAAAUGUCCUGGCUUUUCAGCAGAAGGAGCCCAGGAAAAGCUCUGCACUCCAGGCUACCCUUAUAUGACCCUCAGAAAGAGGAGUGAGACAGUGCACAGAAGAGUGAAAAAGAGCUGAAAAGAGAGGGCGAGAGGAGGAGGGUGAAAGUUUGAUGCUUUCAGUUCUGUGUGUAUUUUACUGCUUUUCAUCUUAUAUCUUUUCCACGGUAAGAUCAUCAUCUUCAGAAGCACAAGAAAGCAAGCCACUCGAAGGGCAAAGUAUACCUCCAAGUCUCCAAGAGCAGAAGGUGAAGAUAAUGGAAAAAUGCGUAAGAGGGUGAAACAGAAGGAACAGACAGAGAAGCGCAUCCUACCCA